GACGAACCGUGCGAACGUUGUUCGGAUUCACUGGGCUUAAAGGGCGCGUAGGCGGGCGGUCAAGUCAGGGGGUGAAAUCUUUCGGCCUAACCGGAAAAGGGCCUCUGAUACUGGCCGUCUCGAGGGAGGUAGGGGCAUGCGGAACUUCCGGUGGAGCGGUGAAAUGCGUAGAUAUCGGAAGGAACGCCGGUGGCGAAAGCGGCGUGCUGGACCUCUUCUGACGCUGAGGCGCGAAAGCCAGGGGAGCGAACAGG
rnacentral:rRNA from 1 species